GGGAGAGCACUACACAGGGCUGCCCUCUGUUUGCAGAGCCGGAGGAGCCGGGACCGCAGUAGCUUUCCCACAAUGCCCUGCGACGGUGCUUCAUCUCGGCCCUGGGAGGCCCACUUCUCUGGAUGAGAGGAUAAUUCACUCGCUAUAGCCCAUUCAAUCUUCAGCCUCU
ensembl:misc_RNA